UGCUCCGCAUAUAAAUGUGCAUGGCCAACUGCACGUUUCACAAGCGAAUAUAGCGACAUAUCGCAUCAACAUGGGUCUUUCUGGCACUUUAGUUGUCGUCAUGAUCCUAGCCCUUGUGGCUUUUUCAAGUGAAAGAUGUGAUGCUGCCUGUGGACAGCCGUGCAGGCGCAAUGACGACGGAUCCACAUAUGGUUGCACCGGUCCCUGCAUAUGUAGAACGCUACGUCUCCUUCAGGAGUUGCGCUAUAUGGGAAAGGAACAUGUGUUCCUGUGUCGUAGCUGAAAGUGUUCUUCAAACUGGCAUCAUUGUUAGCCUUAGAACCACUUAGAACAUUUCGAUGAAAUAAAGUCGACAAUUUGACAGCUGUCAA